rnacentral:rRNA from 1 species
UACGGAGGGUGCAAACGUUGCUCGGAAUCAUUGGGCGUAAAGCGCACGUAGGCGGACCGCUAAGUCGGAUGUGAAAGCCCUCGGCUUAACCGAGGAAGUGCAUUCGAAACUGACAGUCUUGAGUAUGGAAGAGGGUCGCGGAAUUCCCGGUGUAGAGGUGAAAUUCGUAGAUAUCGGGAGGAACACCAGUGGCGAAGGCGGCGACCUGGGCCAAUACUGACGCUCAUGCACGAAAGCGUGGGGAGCAAACAGG